GGAAGCGUGGGGGAGUGGUUUAACCCAGCUGUCUUGAAAACAGCCGACGAGUGAAAUCGUCCGUGAGUUCGAAUCUCACCGCUUCCGCCA
rnacentral:tRNA from 2 species